CCCUUAGAUGUUCUGGACCGCACGCGCGCUACACUGAUGCAUUCAACGAGCCUAUCCUUGACCGACAGGUCCGGGUAAUCUUUGAAUCUGCAUCGUGACGGGGAUAGAUUAUUGCAAUUAUCAAUCUUCAACGAGGAAUGCCUAGUAGGCGCAAGUCAUCAGCUUGCGUCGAUUACGUCCCUGCCCUUUGUACACACCGCCCGUCGCUCCUACCGAUUGGGUGUGCUGGUGAAAUGUUCGGAUCGGCCGUUUGUCGCGGUUUCCGCGUCAUGUGGCUGAGAAGUUCAUUAAACCCUCCCACCUAGAGGAAGGAGAAGUCGUAACA
rnacentral:rRNA from 1 species